rnacentral:rRNA from 1 species
CCUGAUGGAGGGGGAUAACUACUGGAAACGGUAGCUAAUACCGCAUAACGUCGCAAGACCAAAGAGGGGGACCUUCGGGCCUCUUGCCAUCAGAUGUGCCCAGAUGGGAUUAGCUAGUAGGUGGGGUAAUGGCUCACCUAGGCGACGAUCCCUAGCUGGUCUGAGAGGAUGACCAGCCACACUGGAACUGAGACACGGUCCAGACUCCUACGGGAGGCAGCAGUGGGGAAUAUUGCACAAUGGGCGCAAGCCUGAUGCAGCCAUGCCGCGUGUAUGAAGAAGGCCUUCGGGUUGUAAAGUACUUUCAGCGAGGAGGAAGGCAUUAAGGUUAAUAACCUUGGUGAUUGACGUUACUCCCANAAAAAGCACCGGCUAACUCCGUGCCAGCAGCCGCGGUAAU